rnacentral:lncRNA from 1 species
GGCGGUUCAAAUCCCCGUGAUGGGGUGAGCUCCCGUUGCUCGGUCCCUGCUCCUGCCAACCUAGCAGUUCAAAAGCACAUCAAAGUGCAAGUAGAUAAGUAGGUACCGCUCCGGCGGGAAGGUAAACAGUGUUUCCGUGCGCUGCUCUGGUUCGCCAGAAGCGGGUUAGUCAUGCUGGCCACAAGACCCGGAAGCUGUACGCCGGCUCCCUCGGCCAAUAAAGCCAGAUGAGCGCUGCAACACCAGAGUCGGCCACAACUGGACCUAAUGGUCAGGGGUCCCUUUACCUAGCAACUUUGUUGAGCAUAGGUUGCACACCCUUUUGGAGCAAUAGAUUUAUCCUCUAUUCCACAAUAUUAAAGCUCACUCAUCUACUCCUGCUGGAGCUCUCACACCACCAGGCAGAGGACACUGAAAAUAGCCAUGCGCUCCCUGCUUGAAAAUUAGCAAAGCCGCAAAUAUCACAGCAAGAGGGGCCAGGAAUUUGACUGCCUCAGCAUUGCAACGUCAUGGCAGCUGAACUCGAGGCCAGAAAGAGUUUGACUGCUGAAGCUCUGCCUCUCCCCAGCCCAAUAAAGAGCCAAUUGCCAGGGGACAGCAAGACGUUAUCCUGGUGUCUUCUGAAGGAGCGGCCUCAUCUGAAACCAAGGAAGGGCUGUGCAAUGGACGUGUUUUCUCCAAUAAAGGCAAAAAGGUCCCUUGGAGCUGCCGGAGUGAAGAUUAAUUAGUUUUUGAAAGAAUAGCUAAAUUGAUGCCAGAAAAGAGGGCUUGGGCUUUGAAAAUAAUGGCUGAAAAUUAGCCAAGCCUCUUUCUUCAUUCCUCUUUGUGGGGCUCCAGAUGAGAUUUGUCUCUGCUGUUUUGGUGGAGAGGAGCCAUUAAUCAAACAGGCAGACGUUCCUUCCCAAAGUCGGGAACGCGGCGGAGUGGACGACAAAAUCAUCCACACGGAAGGGAAAUGACGAGAAAGCGUGGCAGAUUCCAUGCUGCACGGAUCUGCACAGGUUCCAGCUUUGUUUCUGCAAGCCAUUCUGCAUACAUGCAUUGGUAAGACUUGACUACUACAAGGUGCUCUGUGUGGGGCUACUCUUGGUGGCCU